UUCAGAUUAGCGCUAAAACAUGUGUUAGACGCUCCCAUCCCACGACUAAUCAAAAAUACUGCUGUUAUCGCAAACGCAAGACACCGCCCUGUACGACCUGCACAGCGCCGAACCGACGCGAUUUCGGCACCGCCGCCCUGAAGGCGUCGGACCGUAUCCCACAUAACCGACCUCUGGGCCGCAUGCCGCCGGCGCACUUCCCUUCCGACAUCCCCCUGCCCGACGGGAUUUGGGCUGCACGCGGGCGACCAGUCAAUGCCGCCGCCGGGCGACCACGCCUAGCACGGCUUGGCCGAUGGGAUUUGGGCAGGGUUCGACGCCGUACCAUCCGCUGCAUCUGCAGUCGGCCGCACUGCAGUUCAUCUGCACCGAGCUCAACCGCGCCCAGCUCCUCCAAAACCAGAACCUUGAAGCUAAAAUACAGUUCGGUCUGUUGUACCCGCAAACAAAAAAAUACAGUUCAAAAUGAGAAGAAACAUACCUACCAUAGAGAACUGGAGAGGAGAUACAGGCUAUAUAGGUUGCUGCUUCUGCAAAGUGCAAGUUGUAUGUGCACAAGCCAUUUUACGUGCCACAUUGCUUGCAAGACAGAGCACGAGCAAUUUUUUAGUCAUUCCAUGGGAAUUUUGUAUCAAGAUGUCUUAUGCACCUACAAGAGCUUUGUUAUUUAUACUGAUAAUACUUUCAGAAAUGUUUCAAUAGACCAAACUUAAUAUUUUGUUUGGCGUUCCAUCCAUUUUUCGAGUGGAUGGCUCUGUGAUGUCCAACAGAAUUUGUUCCCCUGAGUGAUAAACAAUGUCUUGUCAUGAU